rnacentral:rRNA from 1 species
UACGUAGGGUGCAAGCGUUGUCCGGAAUUAUUGGGCGUAAAGAGCUCGUAGGCGGUUUGUCGCGUCUGCUGUGAAAACUCGGGGCUUAACCCCGGGCCUGCAGUGGGUACGGGCAGACUAGAGUGCGGUAGGGGAGACUGGAAUUCCAGGUGUAGCGGUGAAAUGCGUAGAUAUCGAGGAAUGACCGGUGGCGGAAGGCGGCAAGCUCGGUCGGA